CCUCCAGGUCACCACACGGAAUCCGACAGGUGUCACAGAACCUCAAACGUGCCUCGGCCUCCCCCAGAAAACGAAACAUCACAGACGAUUUUCCAGACGGAGAAAAACAAAGGGGGGAAAGGCUGGAAAAUGAGCAGUUGAAAAGACUCGGGGUGGCUCUGCAGUAACGCAUUUCCCAAAGUCCCGAUACGGGAAAAGCCUCCUGACACGGUUCUCACCUGCGAUCGGGCCCCAGGGAUGGCUGUCUGUGGAUUGUAUGUGUCGACAUCAGGCCUCCAGGGCUCCUCUCUAGGCUCAGAUGAGCACAAUAUUGUUCUUUUAGGCUAUACUGUAAUAGAUAUAAACACAAAUCAGAUACUCGGCGUACAGGAGUAUCUGGUGAAACCGACAGACUGUGAUCUCAACACUAAUUUCCUCUCAGAGUCGGUUAAGCAAGAGACAAGGCUGACAGAGGCCGCAAUACGUACGUCAGGUGUUAACCUCCAAAAAGCUAUUUCCCUUUUUGAAUCUUAUUCAAGAUCUCUGGGCACAGAUCCGGCUUCUCUUGUGCUUACUACAGAUGGGCAGGCACCACUGCGUCAGUGCCUCCAUCCAGAGGCGACAGAUAAAGACAUAACCCUCCCUUCACAAUACACCUCGUUUUGUGACCUGCGAAAGGAUGUUGCACGAGUCUAUGGAGCAGGUGACGCAAAAUUCUCCUCGAUUCCUGAGAUGCUCACGUAUCUGGACAUUCCCAAUUCGUGUGAUACAUCAUUUUUCUCCAAAGAGCUAAGAGACAUGACUAACAUCAUCCAUAGGCUCAUCUCUGAUGGAUACAAGUUUACCGAGGUCGAGACGAUACAGCUCUACCUGGAACCUGGAAUUUGUUCAAAAGAUGAGGAAGUGGAUAGCAAUUGCGUAGUACGAGCACGUGGCCUACCCUGGCAAUCCAGCGAUCAGGACAUUGCUAAAUUUUUCCGAGGACUUAAUAUAGCAAAGGGAGGUGUUGCUCUCUGUUUAUCUCCAGUUGGUCGUAGAAACGGGGAGGCAUUAGUACGCUUUGAAUCACCUGAACACAGGGACAUGGCACUGAAAAGGCACCGGCACCAUAUUGGUAAUCGCUACAUCGAGGUGUACCGAGCACUUGGAGAAGACUUUGUCAAUGUGGCUGGAGGAGCAAACAACGAGGCUCAGGCCUUUUUGACCAAAGGUGCCCAGGUCAUAAUAAGAAUGAGAGGCCUACCAUAUGACUGUACUGCCCGCCAAGUAAUGGACUUCUUUGAAAACGGUGAGAAUAGUGUAAGUGUUAUGGACGGCGAAGAGGGGAUACUUUUUGUUCAAAAACCUGAUGGGAGGAGUACUGGGGAUGCCUUUGUGCUCUUCAAGGAAGAGAAAGACGCACCAAAAGCUCUCUCCAGGCAUCGUGAAUCUAUUGGCGCUCGUUAUAUCGAACUUUUUCGGAGCACCACUGCCGAAGUUCAGCAGGUCCUGAAUCGAGCGAUGAUUACUCCUGAACAAAUAAAGCCAGUGGCACCGCCAAUUCAGCCGAUGCCAGCAGUUCCACUUCUACCUCAGCACCUCAUCACAUCAGGUACUAUGAAGGACUGCAUACGAUUACGUGGACUGCCAUACGAAGCACAGGUUGAAAACAUACUCGAGUUCCUUGGCGAGCAUGCCAAAAAUAUAAUAUUUCAAGGCGUGCACAUGGUGUAUAACAGUCAGGGUCAGCCAAGUGGUGAAGCUUUUAUCCAAAUGGACAGCGAAACGUCCGCUUUUAAUGCUGCUCAAUUACGACAUAAUCGGUACAUGAAUUUUGGAAAGAAACAGCGAUACAUCGAAGUGUUUCAAUGUUCGGGGGAUGACAUGAUGCUUGUGCUCUCUGGAGGACUGCCUCUCCCAGGACAGUUGAGCCCUCCAAUGGCACCGGUGGCCGCACCCAAGACAGUAGCAGGGGCCACGGCACAAACAGUAGCAGCCACCUCCGCACUCCUUUCGCCAGGAGGUGGUGUGGGGCAAUAUUUAAUACCACCCCCACGUGGCUAUGUCAUCUGGACUUACCCCUCGCCACCAGUGUCACCGCCACACCAGUUGCUCAUCAUGUGCCCAGAAGCUCCGUACCCACCCGUUGAGUAUUUAUGUAAACUAAUAGAAGAACAUUGAUUUGAUGUCAAACAUGAAAUUUUUGAUGUUAUGAACAAUUGAACAGUUGUUGGAACACUUUCACAACAUUGGCAGUCAUGUAAUUAUUCAAGAACAUUGCAAUUAUUUAUAUUUAAAAUUAAUUGACAGCAAGAUUGAAGUUAAUUGUAGAUGAGGUGGGGUGGUCUUGACUGCCAUGGUAACCUGAUGUCACAGAUGCCACCACAGGCACAGGCAUCGACCUGUGCCACAAACCACGCUUAGCAC
rnacentral:misc_RNA from 1 species